GAGACACCCUUAUGGGGCAGGACUUGCUUCAGUGGGGCUUUGGUGCUCACUGAGUCUGCCCCUUUAGUGUGUCACU
rfam:Myotis brandtii contig251735, whole genome shotgun sequence.